AUCAUAUGGCUUUGCUUGCACCACUGGAUGGAUUAUCACCAUGCUAUGUAGCAUUUGUGUAAGGUCAUCUCUCAAUGGUUCAACUUGAUUGAUUUUAGGGACUGCAAUAGCUAAAAAUAGAAAAACCUCUAAGCAACUUAUUCUGAUGAACUGCUUGAAAGUACAUUUACUAUAGCAACCAUUGUAUAAUUAACCAAAUUAAAGCUGCUGGAGUUAGACCUUUUACUAUUAUACUGAUCAAGUUUGAUCAAAAGUAGUGAGAGCAGAUCAGCUGAAAGUUGGUGCAUAGCUAGAGGUCAGAUUUGAAAACUCUGAGACUUCAAGAAACUUUAUAAGGCAGAAAUUGUACUUGUAUGGGGCAUAGACUGCUAGCAAGAAAUAGGCUGAGUCUUGGGACACAUAUAGCUUGGAAGAAACAUCAUUAAACUAAAAACACACUCUGUUACCUUAAUAUUAAGCUAAAGGUGGUUAAUCUGAUUUUGGUCAACCAAUGGAUUUGUUCGAAACUUUAACAAUGGUCAUUUACACUUACUUGUGUUCACUGGGUGCUUUAUACAUGGAGAUAUUUUCAUAUCCUUGUUAACACAUCAAUAUAGGGUUAUUUUAGCGUAAGUGUUGAGCUGAUAAAUUAUAUUGCCUAAUACUGUAAAAUCAUUAAAUUUCGUGGGCAUGAAAUUUCGUGGUUUUGGUCAAAACAGCAAUUUCAUGGGGAUAUGAAUUCGUGGAUAGCAACUUUUGAACAUAAAAUGAAUGGGAAUUUUACUUGUUCAUUGGGAUUAAAUUUCGUGGAUUAACUCAACCACGAAAUCCACGAAAAUUAGUCCCCCUUGAAUAUUAAUGAUUUCACAGUAUAAGAAAUGAAUUGAAUAUAUGAAGUAUUAUAUUAUGCUAAAGAUUUGCACUGACAAUUAAAUAUUUAGCCAAAAGUUUUUAGAAUUGCAAGUUUAUAUUAUUAUUAUUAUUACCUCCCUUUGCGUAUAUUUGUUGCACAGCUGGAAAUAAAGGAAUUUAGAAGCUACAUUUCUUAGAUAACCUUUACACUGCUAUAUUUCUAAAAUGGACUAGCCCAAUUCAUUCAAUUUGGGCAAUACCAUUUAUUAUUCAGAGGGGUGUUCACAGAAAAUUAACUGACUGAAGAGACUGUGCAGGCUGAUUUUGGUCUGUGUAUUGGCCACAAAGGCAAAAUCGCUUGCCACCAGCAGGCUAAAGAUUAAACAGGGAUUCCACUGUAUAUGAGUGGUCUUUUUGUUCCUUAAAUAAAUCUCUAACAGAAUAUAAGAAAACUGUAAAAUGUUGUAAAACAUUGCUUAAAUUUGACUCACCACCUUUAAAACUAUUGAAAGAUCAAGAUAAGUCAGGGAAAUACAGUCCCAUGAGAUGUUUAAAUGUUGCUAUGUACUUUUAUAGUACAUUUUCAUUUGCCUUAAUUCUAUGUCAGUAUUCUGUUUGAUGUAUCUUUAUAGGAAAAAAAGCUGACCAUUGCUUUAGAUGCUCAAUAAAACAGUCUAUGUGGCAGGCAUAGUUUGAGGAGAUGUUUUGUUUUAUCAACAACUGGCUAUAUACAGUCGAAUACCGUUACCUCGAUAUUCAAGGGACUGUAAAAAUUGCAUCGACUUAUCCGAAGUUCGCCGUAACGAUAUCGACUAUCUGGGACGUCUAUAUUGUCCGUAUAUCCAAUUCCUUUUUAGAGGGUUUGAAAGGGGAAAGAAAUAACAAAAAACAUAUACAAAUGGUAACCACAGUGCUUCUGAGUUUGAUUUAUUACAAACAUUUUUGCUUAGAAAAACUCCUGAUGUUGUUUGAAGAAAUGUGGUAGGGAUAAACUGUCCUGAUGUUGUUUGAAGAAAUAUGGUGGGGAAAAACUGUACUGAUGUUGUUUGAAGAAAUGUUGUAGGGAUAAACUGUAAUGGUGUUGUUUGAAGAAAUGUGGUAGGGAAAGACUGAACUGAUGUUGUUUGAAGAAAUGUUGUGGGGAUAAACUGUACUGAUGUUGUUUGAAGAAAUGUGGUGAGGAAAGACUGAACUGAUGUUGUUUGAAGAAUGUUGUGGGGAUAAACUGUACUGAUGUUGUUUGAAGAAAUGUGGCGAGGAAAGACUGAACUGAUGUUGUUUGAAGAAAUGUUGUGGGGAUAAACUGUACUGAUGUUGUUUGAAGAAAUGUGGUGAGGAAAGACUGAACUGAUGUUGUUUGAAGAAAUGUUGUGGGGAUAAACUGUACUGAUGUUGUUUGAAGAAAUGUGGUGAGGAUAAACUGUACUGAUGUUGUUUGAAGAAAUGUUGUGGGGAUAAACUGUAAUGGUGUUGUUUGAAGGAAAUGUGAUAAGGAAAGACUGUACUGAUGUUGUUUGAAGAAAAUGUGGUGAGGAAAAACUGUCCUGAUGUUGUUUGAAGAAAAUGUGGUGGGGAAAGACUGUACUGAUGUUGUUUGAAGAAAUGUGAUAAGGAAAGACUGUACUGAUGUUGUUUGAAGAAAUGUGAUAAGGAAAGACUGUACUGAUGUUGUUUGAAGAAAUGUAAAAGACCUGUUGUUCCCUGCCCUGCUAAAGCCUGACUAGAGCAGCAUAAAAGUCCUGUUAUUCCCUCAAACUUGACUAGAGCAGCAUAAAAGUCCUGUUAUUCCCUGCCCUACUUAGGCUUGACUAGAGUGGCAUAGAAGGCCCUGCAUAGGCUUGACUAGAGCAAUGUAAAAGUACUGUUAUUCCCUGCCCUGCUUAAGCUUGACUAGAGCAACAUAAAAGUCCUGUUAUUCAUUGCCCUGCUCAAUCUUGACAAGAGCAGCAUUAAAGUCCUGUUAUUCCCCUGCCCUGCUAAAGCCUGACUAGAGCAACAUUAAAGUCCUGUUAUUCCCCUGCCCUGCUAAAGCCUGACUAGAGCAACAUUAAAGUCCUGUUUUUCCCCUGCCCUGCUAAAGCCUGACUAGAGCAACAUUAAAGUCCUGUUAUUCCCCUGCCCUGCUAAAGCCUGACUAGAGCAACAUUAAAGUCUUGUUAUUCCCUGCCACUAGAGCAAAGUCCCUUUAAUUUCUUGUCCUACUCAAUAUUGUCUUAAUUCGAAGUAAAAGUGUUGUCUAAUAUUCCCAAUCCUGCUCAAUUUUAUGUUACAUGACUUAAAAAGUCCUGGUAUUCCCUCUUCAAACUUGACCAGAGUGAAAUAAAAGUCCUGUGCUCAAACUUGAGAAGUCAUGUUUCCCUGCCCUGCUCAGACUUGUCUGGUGUGAAGUUAAAGUCCUGUUCUGUUAUUCUGUGCCCAGUCCUUCAGUUGUAUAUGAAUUCAGAUAAUGAACAGAAUUCAUAUGGUUUAUGAUAGAAAAUGAAAUGAAUUGCUAGAUUUUGGACUGAGAGGUGAAAUUAUUUAUGUAGGGAUAACGCAUGUUUUUCCUGUUACAGCGUCUGCAGAAUCCCGAGGGAUUGGUUGGUGCCCCGAGCCUGUAGGACCAAUUGGAAGUGAAAAUUUAAUGUCUUUGUUGGGAACUUGCUUAUCUCAAAAUCAAUUUUUUUUAUCAGAGGACAUAUUCAAGUCCCUUUCCAAAAACACAUGAAUAAAUGUCGUUUUAAGGUUUAGCAGUAUAUCACCAAAUCACAGAAAUGUUUGGUAAGCUAGGAACAACAUUUUACCUACAAUCUACCUGUCUAAUACCAUGUUUUACCUUACUGUCCUGUACCAUUGGAUACUUGAAAUAUUCUCAAAAGUUGUCCCCCUUUAUAAAAGAAUGCCAUUUGUGAAGAAAUAAAAGUAAAUAAUUGUUCAUGUAACAGUUCUUUAAAAAUGGUGAGUAUUUAAAGGCAUUGAACUUUCCGGAAGUAUGACCCCUUCAUGCAAUCCCUUUUUAGAAUUUUCAUAUGUGAGCAAAUUGAUGCUUUUGUAGACGUAUAUAUAUGUUUUAUAUGCUGUUUAAUUUUCAUGUAAAACGACUAUGUUCGAAAUUUUUUUUACUAAAACCUAGACCUAACUCUUUAGUAGACUUUCUGUUAUUUGGAAGUAAAACGCUCACUGCUUUGAAUUCAUACCUUUACUUUUUGUCUAGUUAUGCAGAAAAUGUGCACUUUUAUAUGUAUUGUAAUAGCAAAGUGACCUACAUUGAGUAGACUUUCAUUUAAGAUAAUUUUUAAAAAGAAAUGGUGUCAAAGUAGCAAGAAAAACUAUAUUCCAAUUCACAUGCAUUUCUUUCCGGCUUUUGUGUAUAAUUUGAAUAGUCUUUUAUAUUUAUUAAGCGAUAUGGUGAUAUUGUUAUAGUGUUGACUGACUUUGAUUUUUCACAAACAAUAAAAGUUAUUAACACCCUUUUUAACCUUUAAUUAACCUUGAAAAUUGUUCAUUCAACUGUAAAUAAAAAAGUUCUUGUAUGUC